CCUACGGGUGGCAGCAGUGAGGAAUAUUGGUCAAUGGGCUUACGCCUGAACCAGCCAAGUCGCGUGAGGGAAGACUGCCCUAUGGGUUGUAAACCUCUUUUGUCAGGGAGCAAUUGGCGCUACGUGUAGCGUUAUCGAGAGUACCUUAAGUAAAAGCAUCGGCUAACUCCGUUCCAGCAGCCGCGGUAAUACGGAGGAUGCGAGCGUUAUCCGGAUUUAUUCGGUUUAAAGGGUGCGUAGGCGGAAUGCCAAGUCAGCGGUAAAAUCGCGGGGCUCAACCCCGCUCCGCGGUUGAAACUGGCGGUCUUGAGUGGGCGAGAAGUAUGCGGAAUGCGUGGUGUAGCGGUGAAAUGCGUAGAUAUCACGCAGAACUCCGAUUGCGAAGGCAGCAUACCGGCGCCCAACUGACGCUGAAGCACGAAAGCGUGGGGAUCGAACAGGAUUAGAUACCCGGGUAGUC
rnacentral:rRNA from 1 species